rnacentral:rRNA from 1 species
AAUGGGCGCAAGCCUGACCCAGCCAUGCCGCGUGAGUGACGAAGGCCUUAGGGUUGUAAAGCUCUUUCGGCGGGGACGAUGAUGACGGUACCCGCAGAAGAAGCCCCGGCUAACUUCGUGCCAGCAGCCGCGGUAAUACGAAGGGGGCGAGCGUUGUUCGGAAUCACUGGGCGUAAAGGGCACGUAGGCGGCCGUGCAAGUUGGGCGUGAAAGCCCCGGGCUCAACCCGGGAUGUGCGCUCAAGACUGCAUGGCUCGAGUUCGGAAGAGGGUGGCGGAAUUCCCAGUGUAGAGGUGAAAUUCGUAGAUAUUGGGAAGAACACCGGUGGCGAAGGCGGCUACCUGGUCCGAUACUGACGCUGAGGUGCGAAAGCGUGGGGAGCAAA